UAUAACCAAAGAGAGAGGAGAAGAAGAAGGGGAGGGAGAGGACAAGCGCACCACGUGACGGUGAAAAGCCUGCAGGCUGCUGUGCUGGGAAAGGCAGAGACAUCCCCCCAUAUUGACGCUGCCGUUUCACCACAACAACAGUUCUGGGAAAUGGCCGCCGUCUGUACUGUAGCUGCUAUUUACAUGGGACUGAUUCAGCCCGGCUUAUCGCUUUCAUCACCAGCUACAGCGGCUGGUUGGUCUGACCUUUCUCUCCUCCCACUGAUUCCCUCCUCCCGCUUUUUUUUCUUAAUGCCCUCUGUAAAGGUUUAUGUUGCAUGAAUGAAAAAUAGAAAAACAGAAAAAAAACAAUGAAAAUAAGAAAAACAAGACAAGUAUAAAGCAAGUUGGAGUCAGGGAUGGUCAGAGAUUAGAUUGGGGUAGGGGAGGAGGAAGAGGAUGGGGGGUGGGGGGGUGCUCAGUCUGAAACAGAAGCACUGGAGACAUGAGUCAUGGCAAGCAGUCUCCCAGGGGGCUUGUUGGUGCAGUCUAUAAAUGGAAAUAGCAGAAAAACAGCGGCUUCCCUCGCCCACCCAGGACCAGAUGCAAGACUACUGAUGAAAAUUAAAAAAUGAGGUAUAUACGCUCUGCCUUUGUCUUUCCUGGCCACACUACCUGCCAGCAUGAUGCCAUCAGAGGCGGCGUCUCGUCAUCUCGUCGCUCCGUGGCUGCUGGGCUGCCGCCAGUAGCGCCGCACCACCUGCUCCCACCCCUCCCUCUCCUUCCUUCCUACCUCUGGGUGCAAUCUGCCCACCUGCUUCCAUGGGUUCAUCCUCGAGAUCAUCCCCUCGAGGCAGUGAAGACAUUAUCUCAGUGGAGUAAAAAGCUAGAGGUAAAGUGACAGAGCUAGUUUUAAGUGCCUCUCUGAAAACACCACAGAAGCCCUUUGGCUGUUUCUGUCUCUGUCUCUUUUUUUUUUUUGUAUUUAAGCACAGCAAAGUUUUCAGAUUGGAUUAAAAUGAACAGAAGGGGUUUGCAGGUGAGGAGUCGUGGCUCCCUGCUGAAGGCUAGCCCCGUGUUUGUUGUUGGCGUUGUUGUUAUAGUCAUAAUAUUGUGCGUUUAUCUGGAGAUGAUGCUGACGUUCCCGUGGUGACUGAUACUAGACAGCUCUGCUGUUUCAUCAGAUGCCGGUGUAAUCUUUUGGGCAGAAAAUGAAUAAAUGUCUGGAACAAUUUGCCAA